CCUACGGGAGGCAGCAGUGGGGAAUAUUGGACAAUGGGCGAAAGCCUGAUCCAGCAAUUCCGCGUGUGUGAAGAAGGCCUUCGGGUUGUAAAGCACUUUAGUGGGGGAAGAAACAGCUUGGCCACACCAAGCCUUGACGGUACCCCAAGAAUAAGCACCGGCUAACUCUGUGCCAGCAGCCGCGGUAAUACAGAGGGUGCAAGCGUUAAUCGGAUUUACUGGGCGUAAAGGGUGCGUAGGUGGCUAUUUAAGUCGGAUGUGAAAGCCCGGGGCUCAACCUCGGAAUUGCAUUCGAUACUGAGUGGCUAGAGUUCGGUAGAGGGCGGCGGAAUUUCCGGUGUAGCGGUGAAAUGCGUAGAUAUCGGAAGGAACAUCAAUGGCGAAGGCAGCCGCCUGGGCCUGGACUGACACUGAGGCACGAAAGCGUGGGUAGCAAACAGGAUUAGAUACCCUGGUAGUCCACGCCGUAAACGAUGAGAACUUGACGUUGGUUCGUUUUACGAAUCGGUGUCGCAGCUAACGACGAUAAGUUACUUCCGUCCCGUCGGGGAGGGUACGGGACCGGCCGAACGGUUAGGUAAACGUAACAAAGUAAAGUAAGUAGGUACGGUCGUGAGACGUCGACCGACGGACCGACCGACGGAAGGGAGGGAGG
rnacentral:rRNA from 1 species